rnacentral:misc_RNA from 1 species
GUGAGUCAUCGAAUCUUUGAACGCACAUUGCGCCCUUCGGUAUUCCGUUGGGCAUGCCUGUUCGAGCGUCAUUAGAAACUUCAAGCUCAGCUUGGUGUUGGGUGCUUGUCCCCCUCGGGCGGACUCACCUCAAAUGCAUUGGCGGCCGGUAUGUUGGCUACAGCGCAGUACAACGCGUCUGGCGUCUUGAUAUACUGGCCCUCCAGGAGCCCUUCUUUGACUUGACCUCGGAUCAGGUAGGGAUACCCGCUGAACUUAAGCAUAUCAAUAAGCGGAGGA